GGGCACCACCAGGGGGUGCAGCUGCGGCUUAUUUGACUCAACACGGGAAAUCUCACCAGGCCCGGACACCGGAAGGAUUGACAGAUUAACAGCUCUUUCUUGAUUCGGUGGGUGGUGGUGCAUGGCCGUUCUUAGUUGGUGGAGCGAUUUGUCUGGUUAAUUCCGGUAACAAACGAGACUCUAGCCAGCUAAUUAGGCGUCGCCUUUUAGGUGUGCUCGACUUCGGUCGUGCAACUCACUGGCGGCGUAUUAAAAUUCUUCUUAGAGGGACCGGCGGCUUCGAGCCGCACGAGAUUGAGCAAUAACAGGUCUGUGAUGCCCUUAGAUGUCCUGGGCCGCACGCGCGCUACAUUGAAGGAAUCC
rnacentral:rRNA from 1 species